ensembl:snoRNA SNORA70 Small nucleolar RNA SNORA70
AUGCAGUCAAUGAAACUGACUGGGUUCCCUUGCUUGUGGGUGCUCAGUGUGCAAUGGCUGUGAACAGCAACCUCCUUGGUAGUGUGUGCAGCUGCUUGCUGGUGUAGGUUGCGUAGGAGACCUUGGGGACGCUG